AUGAUGGCCCCUUUGUUCCACCCUACAGAGGGGAUUCUUUCCUACCAAAUUAAUACCAGCCAAAAGACAAAUGGUGACAUUUUGCCCUUAACCAAAGUGUGGUACCUGCUCUGUCUCAUCAAUGUGUACAGCUUAAUGAGGGGCUUUUGCAACGUACCCGAGGAAAGACAAGAUUGCCACGGCUCUAUAGGAGCAGCCAUCAGUUCUCCUGUGUUUGGAAUAUCCUUCCCUUCAUGUUCAGAUCUUGAUGUCAUGGCAUUCUCAUCUCUAGCAGUACUAUUUCUGGUGACUUUUAACAGUUUCAGAUAAUUUUUGGAAGCUUUGAAGAUUUACUACCAAUAAUUCCCUCUUUUUGAAACUAGAUGGCUGGCUUAGCUGUAUGCUUAGUACUGCCUGCUAUUAAGGGACAAGUCUAUGAAAAAUGGUCCUAAUAAUAUUUUUAAACACUCAGAUGUUUUGCAUGUAUUAAAGCUAGGAUAGUGGAAAGCUGCAUACAGAAUGUCUGAAGUACCAUAACAUUUGUAUUGGCAUUCGCUUGAUUUGUACUACCUAGUUCAUUAUUCAAAUCAGUGCCAUUUAUUUUUUUGAAUAUUUAAAAUAAGGGUCAUUUGAAGGUAAGUCCCAGGUAUUCUUUCCACCUAUUGGAAUUUAUGCAUAUUAGUCAUUUUCUUUAAUCUUUGCUAUGAUAUUUACUCCUAUUUUUAUACAUACAUUUUACCGAUGCCUGUAACUUCUUAGCGCUAUUUUUUUUUUUUUCUAAAUCAUGGAUUUAUUUUUAGCAGCUUCUGGUAUAUUACAAUGAUUUUUGGCCAUAUGUUUGGGUGUGCAUGAGAACGGGUAUGAGGAUUCUUGCACAGGAAGGAGAAAAUCGGCUCUGUUGGUGGUACAAAUAUCAAGCUGAUUAACUAAGGCAGCUUUUUGCUGCUCUGUGACUAUAGAAGUAGACUUUGGACAGCUAUGGAAUAUCCCCAGUCAGAACCUCGAGAAAUAACGUUACCGAACUUUUUGCAGUCGAGUUUAUCUCACUGCACCGGAACAGUUACACGUUUCGGCAAUGAAAUAAUUAAUAAUCUUGACAUCUAAGGAAGUGUUAACACAAUUGAUGGUAGAAAACAAAUAUAAAUUCUCCCGUGUUUUCACUUGACAAGAAAGGGAAGGAGCAGAAUGAUUGAGGACUCGCAUGAGUUAUGAACUGGACUCACAGUGCGAAUCUGGGCGUUACACCCAGCGCUCCGAGCUGUGCUGUGCAGAUGUGCUGGAUGUGUGGGAAACAUCCCAGCCAGUUUGUCUUGGUGGAUUGCCUGACAAGCAAUUGCUGUUUCCCAAAAAAGUACUCGGGAACUUCCACAGCCGAGCCUUUUAAUUCAUCAGGUGUUGGUGAUUCGAUAAGACCAAAUGAAAAGAAAGCAACGUAGGACCGAUGGAGGUAUUAGUAUCGCACAGGAUAGGCUGAAUUUGCUCUUGUACGGAAGGGGUGUGUGUCUCAUUUUACAGAAAGUUGAAAGCACUGGUGAUUGGAAAAGAUGACACACUGCACAAAAUUCGAACGGAAGACUGAAAGCUGAAUGAGAUUAAGGACAUGAGCUAAACUGGGUGAAAACCGCAAAGAGAAAAACAACUUCAGCCUUAGCAGCAGCAGUCCUGUAUUUAUGUGGGACAAAUCUUCUUGAAUAUCUAAUACAAAUUAGCCUGUAAAUUCAGACUAAUUAUCUUGGUAGGGGGAAAAAAAAAAAAAAAAAGUGGGUGGGAAGACUGUGUUCUCACCAGCUCUUCAUCUCAAUUGUUGAAUCUGGAGGUUAAAACGGUCAGGAGUGGAAAAAGUGCAGGGAUGAAUAGAGAAAGAGCUGCUGAGUGAAAAGGGGGGAAGAACGCUGAGGUGAAUAAGCGUGGGAUUGGGUGAGAUGAACAAAACUCCUCUAAAUAGUUUAACUGUACGGUGCUGUUAUUUUCAGCAGUUUCCUUCACGAACAGACUGAGAGGUUAAAUGACAAAGCUGGGGUGUUUGUAACAUAUUUACUACUCGGACACUUCUUCACGUGUUGAAGGCAAGCUGCACGGUGCGUAUUCCUCACUUUACCACCGGAACAAAUUGCAGCCACACAAAUCUUACUUUUUUUCUUCAAAUCUCAAGCUUAUUCAGCCCAAAGCUCCUCACCCUACUGUCCUGCACCCACACAACUUGCUUUUUUCCCCACGGGUGAGGACACACGCGUUUCCCGUCACGGAGCCGAGCCCCCCACCACAGCCCCUCCCCGGCGGGCCAGGUGCCCGUUCACGAAUCGGCUCCGGGGACGGGCCCGGCGCCGGGCAGCCCGCCCGCCAUUAGCCGUUAACGGCCGCCCAACGGCUCCCGCGCACGCGCGAGGGGCAGGGAGGGGGCGGGGCCACCGCCGGCGGAGCGCGCGAAAAUUCCAAACCGGCGGCGCGAGCCGGGCCGCGCGGUAAGGCGCGGGGAGGGGGCGGGGCCGCGGCGGGCGCGAGGGUGGGCAGGGGGUGGCGGCGGCGGCAAAGCGGGGGUCGGGGGGGGGGGAGCGCGCAUGCGCGAUCGUGGGGGGGGGCAGGGGCAGAGGGGGCAGAGGGGGGAGGUGGGAGGUGGGCUGGGGGAGUUGGUCACGUCAUGUCGUGGCGUGUUACGUCAUGUCGUGUCAUGACACGUCACGACAUGUCGCGGGGCGCUGCCCGUGGUCCCGUCCGCGUGGGGCCGCGUUCGGCACCGCCGGCCUGCAGGAGCCGGGCGAGCCCGGGCAGCGCGGAGGUUGAUUCUGGAAUGCAGUUACAAUAAAGAUGCGAAGCCCUUUUUAAGCUCAAAACCCAUUUUUUCUGUUAAAAAGGCAACUCCUCAGGCUGCCGGCAGCAAGCCACGCGCCGCCGUCGCCCCUCAGGGCCCUGCGCCCCGUGGCCGUGUUUGUUCGCUGCCGCCACCGCUGGGCUGGCUGCAGGACAGCCUGGCACCGCCUCCCAGAAGGGAUGCCCGCCCUGUUAGAAAGCACCGGGCACAGUUACCCUCCCGUUAAUGGGGCCGCUUGGUGCACUGCAGACCCUAAAACCACCUCUUAAAUCCCCUUUGUUUCUUUUCCGCUAAGGUACAUGUUUCCACAUACUUACCUAGAGUUGCAAAGGUGCAAAAGAUGUCUUUUGACAAAGAUAUCUUGCAAAAGACGGGUGGAGGAUUUUAUGAUGGGCGAAACAAUUGUUUCCUGGAAAAAAAAUCGGUCAGAAAAUGUUACAGGCCUAUGAUAGAGACCUGAUACGUGUCCUCUAAAACAUAGAGCUGAUUUGGACGUCUG
rnacentral:lncRNA from 1 species